rnacentral:rRNA from 1 species
AUUGAACGCUGGCGGCAUGCCUAACACAUGCAAGUCGAACGGCAGCACAAUAAAGAUUUCGGUCUUUAUGGGUGGCGAGUGGCGGACGGGUGAGUAACGCGUAGGAAUCUGUCCUGGAGAGUGGGAUAACCCGAGGAACCUCGGGCUAAUACUGCAUGACAUUGAGAGAUCAAAAGCAGGGGACCGAAAGGCCUUGCGCUCUGGGGUGAGCCUACGUCGGAUUAGCUAGUUGGUGGGGUAAAGGCCUACCAAGGCGACGAUGCGUAGCUGGUCUGAGAGGAUGACCAGCCACACUGGGACUGAGACACGGCCCAGACUCCUACGGGAGGCAGCAGUGGGGAAUCUUGGACAAUGGGGGAAACCCUGAUCCAGCGAUGCCGCGUGUGUGAAGAAGGCCUUCGGGUUGUAAAGCACUUUAGGUGGGGAAGAAAGGUAGCGAGUGAAUAACUUUCUGCUGUGACGGUACCCACAGAAUAAGCACCGGCUAACUCUGUGCCAGCCGCCGCAGUAA